rnacentral:tRNA from 1 species
UGCCGGGUCUUCUAAUUCGUAGGACAGCGGACUUUGAAUCCGUGAAUGCAGGUGCGAAGCCUGCCCCGGCAGCCA